AACGAACGCUGGCGGCAUGCCUAACACAUGCAAGUCGAACGAGACCUUCGGGUCUAGUGGCGCACGGGUGGGUAACGCGUGGGAACCUGCCCUUAGGUUCGGAAUAACUCCCCGAAAGGGGUGCUAAUACCGGAUAAUGUCUUCGGACCAAAGAUUUAUCGCCUUUGGAUGGGCCCGCGUUGGAUUAGCUAGUUGGUAGGGUAAAAGCCUACCAAGGCGACGAUCCAUAGCUGGUCUGAGAGGAUGAUCAGCCACACUGGGACUGAGACACGGCCCAGACUCCUACGGGAGGCAGCAGUGGGGAAUAUUGGACAAUGGGCGAAAGCCUGAUCCAGCAAUGCCGCGUGAGUGAUGAAGGCCUUAGGGUUGUAAAGCUCUUUUACCCGGGAUGAUAAUGACAGUACCGGGAGAAUAAGCUCCGGCUAACUCCGU
rnacentral:rRNA from 1 species